GGUUAAGCGACUAAGCGUACACGGUGGAUGCCCUGGCAGUCAGAGGCGAUGAAGGACGUGCUAAUCUGCGAUAAGCGUCGGUAAGGUGAUAUGAACCGUUAUAACCGGCGAUUUCCGAAUGGGGAAACCCAGUGUGAUUCGUCACACUAUCAUUAACUGAAUCCAUAGGUUAAUGAGGCGAACCGGGGGAACUGAAACAUCUAAGUACCCCGAGGAAAAGAAAUCAACCGAGAUUCCCCCAGUAGCGGCGAGCGAACGGGGAGGAGCCCAGAGCCUGAAUCAGUGUGUGUGUUAGUGGAAGCGUCUGGAAAGGCGCGCGAUACAGGGUGACAGCCCCGUACACAAAAAUGCACAUGCUGUGAGCUCGAUGAGUAGGACGGGACACGUGGUAUCCUGUCUGAAUAUGGGGGGACCAUCCUCCAAGGCUAAAUACUCCUGACUGACCGAUAGUGAACCAGUACCGUGAGGGAAAGGCGAAAAGAACCCCGGCGAGGGGAGUGAAAAAGAACCUGAAACCGUGUACGUACAAGCAGUGGGAGCACAGAGCAAUCUGUGUGACUGCGUACCUUUUGUAUAAUGGGUCAGCGACUUAUAUUCUGUAGCAAGGUUAACCGAAUAGGGGAGCCGAAGGGAAACCGAGUCUUAACUGGGCGUUAAGUUGCAGGGUAUAGACCCGAAACCCGGUGAUCUAGCCAUGGGCAGGUUGAAGGUUGGGUAACACUAACUGGAGGACCGAACCGACUAAUGUUGAAAAAUUAGCGGAUGACUUGUGGCUGGGGGUGAAAGGCCAAUCAAACCGGGAGAUAGCUGGUUCUCCCCGAAAGCUAUUUAGGUAGCGCCUCGUGAAUUCAUCUCCGGGGGUAGAGCACUGUUUCGGCAAGGGGGUCAUCCCGACUUACCAACCCGAUGCAAACUGCGAAUACCGGAGAAUGUUAUCACGGGAGACACACGGCGGGUGCUAACGUCCGUCGUGAAGAGGGAAACAACCCAGACCGCCAGCUAAGGUCCCAAAGUCAUGGUUAAGUGGGAAACGAUGUGGGAAGGCCCAGACAGCCAGGAUGUUGGCUUAGAAGCAGCCAUCAUUUAAAGAAAGCGUAAUAGCUCACUGGUCGAGUCGGCCUGCGCGGAAGAUGUAACGGGGCUAAACCAUGCACCGAAGCUGCGGCAGCGACGCUUAUGCGUUGUUGGGUAGGGGAGCGUUCUGUAAGCCUGUGAAGGUGUACUGUGAGGUAUGCUGGAGGUAUCAGAAGUGCGAAUGCUGACAUAAGUAACGAUAAAGCGGGUGAAAAGCCCGCUCGCCGGAAGACCAAGGGUUCCUGUCCAACGUUAAUCGGGGCAGGGUGAGUCGACCCCUAAGGCGAGGCCGAAAGGCGUAGUCGAUGGGAAACAGGUUAAUAUUCCUGUACUUGGUGUUACUGCGAAGGGGGGACGGAGAAGGCUAUGUUGGCCGGGCGACGGUUGUCCCGGUUUAAGCGUGUAGGCUGGUUUUCCAGGCAAAUCCGGAAAAUCAAGGCUGAGGCGUGAUGACGAGGCACUACGGUGCUGAAGCAACAAAUGCCCUGCUUCCAGGAAAAGCCUCUAAGCAUCAGGUAACAUCAAAUCGUACCCCAAACCGACACAGGUGGUCAGGUAGAGAAUACCAAGGCGCUUGAGAGAACUCGGGUGAAGGAACUAGGCAAAAUGGUGCCGUAACUUCGGGAGAAGGCACGCUGAUAUGUAGGUGAAGUCCCUCGCGGAUGGAGCUGAAAUCAGUCGAAGAUACCAGCUGGCUGCAACUGUUUAUUAAAAACACAGCACUGUGCAAACACGAAAGUGGACGUAUACGGUGUGACGCCUGCCCGGUGCCGGAAGGUUAAUUGAUGGGGUCAGCGCAAGCGAAGCUCUUGAUCGAAGCCCCGGUAAACGGCGGCCGUAACUAUAACGGUCCUAAGGUAGCGAAAUUCCUUGUCGGGUAAGUUCCGACCUGCACGAAUGGCGUAAUGAUGGCCAGGCUGUCUCCACCCGAGACUCAGUGAAAUUGAACUCGCUGUGAAGAUGCAGUGUACCCGCGGCAAGACGGAAAGACCCCGUGAACCUUUACUAUAGCUUGACACUGAACAUUGAGCCUUGAUGUGUAGGAUAGGUGGGAGGCUUGGAAGUGUGGACGCCAGUCUGCAUGGAGCCGACCUUGAAAUACCACCCUUUAAUGUUU
rnacentral:rRNA from 1 species